CAUCAAUUUUAAUAGCAUAUCACUCUAUUUUAACCAGUUUCAUCAGUUCCAAAACAACACAAAUCCAAUUAUCCUGAUACAGAUGUUGAUCGCAGAUUUUCGUGAGCGUUGUAACUCCAACAAAGUGAAAAGCUGGUUAAAAAUUCCAAAUUAUACAUGGCAGUUUGAGAUAUUGGUCUAUCACCUGAUGCUUAGGUUGAUUAGGACCUCAAAAGACAAAG